GCCUCUAUAGAUUAAUGUUAAAUCACCUCCGCUGGAUGUUUUCAAUUCCCAGGUGUACUUCGAAGGAGACGUAGGUUCAACUCCUACUGGAGGCA